ACACAACGUGUCAGCGCGGGGUGACCCGACGGGGCUGUGCAGGGCGACGCGACGCAGGCUGCAUGGGUAACUGGAAUAAAUUUUCAUCCCUAACGAUGAGCGCGUUCCACGACUCGGCCGGCGGGGAGGGCAGCGAGAAGCCGCUGCUCUACUCGCGGGACCACGCGAGGGCGGCCAAGUACAACUGCAACUUCGACCUGUACCAGUCGUCGGUGGCCAACUGGUGUGACGCUCUACCUCCGCAUCUCGCCUGACCCGCCAGCCCGUGGCGAGCCGCCGGAGAACUGCCCGUGAGCGAUCUCUUGUCCCCUCACCUAGUGGUUGUAACCCAGAGAUGAUAAUUGUUGUAGCAGGUUUUUCACAGUAAGAUCCAAUUUCUGUUCUAUUGUUCA